CAAUACUGGAAUUUGCCAAUCUGG
rnacentral:siRNA from 1 species